rnacentral:snRNA from 1 species
GUGCUCGCUUGUGCAGCACAUAUAGUAAAAUAAGAACGAUACAGAGAAGAUUAGCAUGGCCCCUUCGCAAGGAUGACAUGCAAAUUUGUGAAGCAUUCAUAUUUUUU